GACGAACGCUGGCGGCGUGCCUAAUACAUGCAAGUUGAGCGCUGAAGGUUGGUACUUGUACCAACUGGAUGAGCAGCGAACGGGUGAGUAACGCGUGGGGAAUCUGCCUUUGAGCGGGGGACAACAUUUGGAAACGAAUGCUAAUACCGCAUAAAAACUUUAAACACAAGUUUUAAGUUUGAAAGAUGCAAUUGCAUCACUCAAAGAUGAUCCCGCGUUGUAUUAGCUAGUUGGUGAGGUAAAGGCUCACCAAGGCGAUGAUACAUAGCCGACCUGAGAGGGUGAUCGGCCACAUUGGGACUGAGACACGGCCCAAACUCCUACGGGAGACAGCAGUAGGGAAUCUUCGGCAAUGGACGAAAGUCUGACCGAGCAACGCCGCGUGAGUGAAGAAGGUUUUCGGAUCGUAAAACUCUGUUGGUAGAGAAGAACGUUGGUGAGAGUGGAAAGCUCAUCAAGUGACGGUAACUACCCAGAAAGGGACGGCUAACUACGUG
rnacentral:rRNA from 1 species